rnacentral:lncRNA from 1 species
CCGGGCCGCCGGGGCUGGGAAUUCGGAGACUAUAGCGUCCCCGCCCCGGGUUGGGAAGUGGGAAGUGGCACAGGAGCUAGGAUCCAGAAGCCCAGAGGCUCAGCGGUGCUUCUGGAGUUCCAGUGAUCCCGGAGUCUGAACCGGCAGUGAGAGUGGGGAAAGAGGAUGCCGUGCGCAUGCUCAAUACCCUGCAGACCAAUGCCGGCUACCUGGAGCAGGUGAAGCGCCAGCGGGGUGACCCUCAGACACAGUUGGAAGCCAUGGAACUGUACC